rfam:Schistosoma margrebowiei strain Zambia genome assembly, scaffold: SMRZ_scaffold0004575
AUUUAGCUGACGAGUCCCAGAUAAGACAAAACGUAUGUCCUUAAU